rnacentral:rRNA from 1 species
GAGCGGUAGAGAGAAGCUUGCUUCUCUUGAGAGCGGCGGACGGGUGAGUAAUGCCUAGGAAUCUGCCUGGUAGUGGGGGAUAACGUCCGGAAACGGACGCUAAUACCGCAUACGUCCUACGGGAGAAAGCAGGGGACCUUCGGGCCUUGCGCUAUCAGAUGAGCCUAGGUCGGAUUAGCUAGUUGGUGAGGUAAUGACUCACCAAGGCGACGAUCCGUAACUGGUCUGAGAGGAUGAUCAGUCACACUGGAACUGAGACACGGUCCAGACUCCUACGGGAGGCAGCAGUGGGGAAUAUUGGACAAUGGGCGAAAGCCUGAUCCAGCCAUGCCGCGUGUGUGAAGAAGGUCUUCGGAUUGUAAAGCACUUUAAGUUGGGAGGAAGGGCAGUAAGCGAAUACCUUGCUGUUUUGACGUUACCGACAGAAUAAGCACCGGCUAACUCUGUG